CUCAUCUUAUUUUUUUUUUAAUUUUUACAAAUUUUACUAAAUUCUCCAAUUCAUUACUUGUUAAUAUAAGAAUAUUACCUUUAGAAUAUUUUAUAUUUGAAGUAGUGAAGAAUUCUUUAAAAAUGUGGUUAAAUGCCAAAUAUUUUUGUGAGAAUGCAAUAAAAUUUAUCGAAGGCCAGUUAUUGCUUAACCUGAACUCCUUAUGAUCUCCAUCGAAACUGAAGGACAUAAACCUUUUUCAUAUAUAUACUUGCUUAAACAAUACACAUUAUUCAACAGAAUAUGGGAAUUUUAAGACCAGUGGCUGUUGUUACAACGCUUUCUACCAUUCUCCUAUCUAUUUUAUGGAGGGCAACUUUAGAUUUAGCUCAGGAAACAUUUCUUCAAUGUCUCUUAGAGAAUUCUCUCCGUUCCCAUCCCAUCUCUGCAGCAAUCUACACUCCUCAGUCCUCCUCAUAUUCAUCUGUUUUGGAAUCUUACAUUAGAAACCUUCGAUUCAAUGAGACCUCAACCCCAAAGCCAUUCCUUAUUCUCACUGCAUCGCACGAGUCCCACAUCCAAGCUGCCGUUCUUUGUGCCAAAAAGCAAGAUAUUCAGAUGAAAGUUCGGAGUGGAGGCCAUGACUACGAGGGGUUAUCUUACGUAUCUACUGUUCCAUUCUUUGUCCUAGACAUGUUCAAUCUUCGAUCUGUCGAUGUAGAUAUAGGAAAUGAGACUGCUUGGGUUCAGACAGGAGCAACUCUUGGUGAAGUUUAUUACAGAAUUGCUGAGAGGAGCAAUAUUCAUGGCUUCCCAGCUGGUGUUUGCCCCACAGUUGGUGUUGGCGGUCACCUUAGUGGAGCUGGCUAUGGUAAUAUGAUGAGAAAGUACGGCGUUUCUGCCGAUAACAUUAUCGAUGCACAGUUUAUCGAUGCUAAUGGCAGACUUCUUGACAGAAAAUCUAUGGGUGAAGAACUUUUUUGGGCCAUUAGAGGAGGAGGAGGAGCGAGCUUCGGUGUCAUUCUUGCAUAUAAAAUUAAGUUGGUUCGUGUUCCGCAAAAAGUCACUUCGUUUCAGGUUGAAAGAACACUGGAAGAAAAUGCAACGGACAUUGUUGACCAAUGGCAACACGUUGCAGAUAAGUUGCCUGAAGAGCUCUUCAUCAGACUUGCCUUGGAUGUCGUAAACAGCAGUCGAAGCGGUGAAAAGACAGUAAGGGCUUCAUUCAUUUCCUUGUUUCUUGGAGAUUCUGAGACACUCCUUUCCAUCAUGAAUGAGAGGUUUCCCAAGUUGGGUUUAAGUAAAUCUGAUUGCAUUGAGACUAGCUGGGUUCGAUCCGUCCUUUUUUGGGCCGACAUACCCAUCGAGACAAAGAUCGAUGUUUUGCUGGAUCGAACUCCUCAAACAUUGGUUUCCUUGAAGAGGAAAUCAGAUUAUGUGAAAGAACCAAUUCCCAAGGCUGGUUUGGAGGGGAUUUGGAAGAGAAUGAUUGAACUGCAGGUGCCAAAAAUGUUCUUUAAUCCUUAUGGUGGAAAGAUGGCGGAAAUUCCAUCAACAAAAAUUCCAUUCCCCCACAGAGCAGGAAACCUAUGGAAGAUUCAGUAUUUAGCAAAUUGGAAUGAAUCGGGAAUUGAAGCAGCAAAUCAUCAUAUAGGUUUGACAAGGAAGCUUUACGAUUACAUGACUCCUUUCGUGUCCAGGAACCCAAGGGAAGCAUAUCUCAACUACAGAGAUGUUGACUUGGGCACCAGCUACAAUGGAAAGCCUGUCUACUCGGAGGGAAGAGUUUAUGGGAUCAGGUAUUUUAAGGGUAAUUUCGAUAGAUUAGUGCAGAUUAAGAGCAAGGUUGAUCCUAGUAAUUUCUUUAGAAAUGAACAGAGCAUCCCAGUUCUUCCAUAUCAAGAGAAUAGGGAUGAUCAAUGAUGACAGGUAAUAACUUUUUUAUUGGCGGUUACUAUCAUCUCUUAAUUUUCUGUUGAUAUACAAUGUGUACAACUUGUCGUGAAACAAAAAUCUAGGUAAGAUAUAAAAUGCAUUGCUAUUUCAGCAGCCAAAGUCUGCUGCUUGUGGUCGCUGCUUUGCUUAUUCUGGCUUUUGGAGCUGCUGGACUGCUAAGUCUUUUGAUUAGCUGGUUUUUGUGAAGGCGCUGCUUUUCCUUUGAGGCUGUGUAGUUUAGGUUCGUUAGGACUGAUAAGCGGAUCUUUUGUUGCUUAUGCACAGCUUUUCUCGCUUCCAAAGCUGUUCUUAUGCCAUAAGGAGUCUUUCACCAAAUUGGUUUAAGACUUGUAAUGGCAUUCAUGCUUUGGCGCUUUCCAUAAAACUCACUUUUCACAAAAAAAAAUGUUUCUUGGAGUUUCUACGUUGAGUGUUUUAUGUUGAUGGUGACUUGCGGGAGACAACCCUUCUCCAGGACUCUCUUUGUUGUCUCAUUCUUUGGUUGUAAGAGAAUUUCUGGCUCAUCACUGUUUUGGACGCUCUUGGUUUGUCUUCUUAUGUCUCUUGGACUAUCGGUUCUCAGCAGCUCAGAUGGGAUUUGUUUUCUGUUUUUCCUGGUCCAGCUGUUGUUUUGUCUGGCUUUUUGUAUGUGCUUCCUGCUUUCUUUUCUCGCUCGCAAAAGGACGGAAGAAAGUUGGCUCCGCUGGUUUGCUUCUCUUCUUUGAUCAAUGCCUGGAAGUCUUGAAACAUUUUCCUGUAGCUGUAUAUUCUGAGAGGUCCCUUCUUUUGUGAUGUCCCUCUUUUGAUUGAUAGUGUCGAAGUGCAACAAUGUUUAAUGUUCCACUUGUGUGCUGCUGGGGAUUCUCAGUCUCUUGUGCUCAUCGCCUAGGUUCCAAGUCGUCGGUGUGUCCUGAAGGUUAAGGUUGUGAUGAUCCUUUGUGCCUGGUGUUUGUUGGGGUGUCUAGCUUUCUUCUUCUCUCUCUGCUGGAUUGGUGUGAUGCUCUCCGUGGUUGAGGAGGCAUGUGACUGUAGCUUUUUGAGGUGCUGGCUUGAUGUCCUUGAUUGCUUAGGUGUCUCUUGGGGUGCUUCUUCUUUUGCCGGUCCGAGCUUUUCGUUUUGACGCUUGUGGCUUGUGUUUAUGUGGUGCAUUUAACUUCGUGCAGGCUGCCUUUCUUUGGCUGUGGAGCUAAAUGCUCCCCUACGCGUAGAUUUGUGUUUUGACGUUUUGUCCUGGUAAGCUACUUGUCUAUUGAGUAGCAGGCCGCUUGGGAAAAUGUGCGGUUUUUGUUUCCCCCACCAACCUUUCUGUCAUGAGUCUUUUGCAAACAAGCAUAGGACGCAGGCCCUUUGGGAAACUGUACAGCUUGUGUUUCCCCCACCAACGUUUAUGCCAUGAGAGUCUUUUGCAAACAAGCAUAAGACUCGAAAUGACACGUUAGUGUUGAGAUCAACAAAAUACACUUUCCUACCAUAUAUACUCUCUUUUAGAAGAAAGAAAAAAUAGGCAGAAAAUUGAGUUUAAAAUUAUGCGGCACCAAUAGCUCAAUUUGCAAAAAAAAAAAUUCAAAAAUUAAUAAUAUAUUCUUAUUAGCACAUGUUUUUAUUUUUAUGAUUUGAUUCUUUAUCUAGAUUCCCAACUGGUGACAUCGAAACUGUUGAGUUUGAGUGCUAACUUAUGGGUGUCCAUAACUUAUGUGUAUUUAUUUUUUAAUUAUUUAUAAAAUUUUAAAUUUAUAUAUUUAUGAAAUUCACGGAUAGUUAACUUAAAAUGUAUAAAAU